rnacentral:rRNA from 1 species
UACGAAGGGGGCUAGCGUUGCUCGGAAUCACUGGGCGUAAAGCGUGCGUAGGCGGUGUCUUAAGUUUGUUGUGAAAUCUCCCGGCUUAACCGGGAGGGUGCGGCGAAUACUGAGAUGCUGGAGUGCCGGAGAGGUAAGCGGAAUUCCUGGUGUAGCGGUGAAAUGCGUAGAUAUCAGGAGGAACACCUGCGGUGUAGACGGCUUACUGGACGGUAACUGACGCUGAGGCACGAAAGCGUGGGUAGCAAACAGG